rnacentral:rRNA from 1 species
ACGCACGCUGGCGGCGUGCUUCACACAUGCCAGUCGAACGGAAAGGCCCUGCUUUUGUGGGGUGCUCGAGUGGCGAACGGGUGAGUAACACGUGAGUAACCUGCCCUUGACUUUGGGAUAACUUCAGGAAACUGGGGCUAAUACCGGAUAGGAGCUCCUGCUGCAUGGUGGGGGUUGGAAAGUUUCGGCGGUUGGGGAUGGACUCGCGGCUUAUCAGCUUGUUGGUGGGGUAGUGGCUUACCAAGGCUUUGACGGGUAGCCGGCCUGAGAGGGUGACCGGCCACAUUGGGAAUGAGAUACGGCCCAGACGCCUACGGGAGGCAGCAGUGGGGAAUAGUGCACAAUGGGCGGAAGCCUGAUGCAGCAACGCCGCGUGCGGGAUGACGGCUUUCGGGUUGUAAACCGCUUUCGCCUGUGACGAAGCGUGAGGGACGGUAAUGGGUAAAGAAGCACCGGCGAACUACGU